rnacentral:lncRNA from 1 species
AGAUUAUCAUAGUAUCUUGUGUACAUGAAUCCUUACUUUGGUUUAUUCCCUAGUACACCACUUUGAGAUGUAUAUGGGAUAUUCUGGAUAUGAUGAAGUAUGCAUCAAAAUUGUGAGUGGUCAAUAAGGAAUCGAUCACUCCUUAUAGGAGGAGAGAACAUCCUAUGUGAUCUCACAGGAUGAUGACUCUGAGAGUCUCUGGCCAGAGCUGGGAUGAACAGUAGAAAUAAUUUCUAUUGAUUUAUCAAUUGAGUCAUCAUCAUUAGAUUAAGAUACAUUUGAAUAGGUAUUUCGGU